CCUACGGGAGGCUGCAGUGAGGAAUAUUGGUCAAUGGACGAGAGUCUGAACCAGCCAAGUAGCGUGAAGGAUGACUGCCCUAUGGGUUGUAAACUUCUUUUAUAUGGGAAUAAAAUGUUCCACGUGUGGGAUUUUGUAUGUACCAUAUGAAUAAGGAUCGGCUAACGCCGUGCCAGCAGCCGCGGUAAUACGGAGGAUCCGAGCGUUAUACGGAUUGAUUGGGUUUAAAGGGAGCGUAGGUGGAUUGUUAAGUCAGUUGUGAAAGUUUGCGGCUCAACCGUAAAAUUGCAGUUGAAACUGGCAGUCUUGAGUACAGUAGAGGUGGGCGGAAUGCGUGGUGGAGCGGUGAAAUGCUUAGAUAUCACGAAGAACUCCGAUUGCGAAGGCAGCUCACUGGACUGUAACUGACACUGAGGCUCGAAAGUGUGGGUAUCAAACAGGAUUAGAUACCCUUGUAGUC
rnacentral:rRNA from 1 species